rnacentral:rRNA from 1 species
UAGAGACCGGCGCACGGGUGCGUAACGCGUAUGCAAUCUACCUUUUACAGAGGGAUAGCCCAGAGAAAUUUGGAUUAAUACCUCAUAGCAUUAUGAAGUGGCAUCACUUUAUAAUUAAAGUCACAACGGUAAAAGAUGAGCAUGCGUCCCAUUAGCUUGUUGGUAAGGUAACGGCUUACCAAGGCAACGAUGGGUAGGGGUCCUGAGAGGGAGAUCCCCCACACUGGUACUGAGACACGGACCAGACUCCUACGGGAGGCAGCAGUGAGGAAUAUUGGUCAAUGGGCGCAAGCCUGAACCAGCCAUGCCGCGUGCAGGAUGAAGCAUCUAUGGUGUGUAAACUGCUUUUGUACGAGAAGAAACACUCCUACGUGUAGGAGCCUGACGGUAUCGUAAGAAUAAGGACCGGCUAACUCCGUGCCAGCAGCCGCGGUAAUACGGAGGGUCCAAGCGUUAUCCGGAAUCAUUGGGUUUAAAGGGUCCGUAAGCGGUUUUGUAAGUCAGUGGUGAAAGCCCAUCGCUCAACGGUGGAACGGCCAUUGAUACUGCAAGACUUGAAUUAUUGGGAAGCAACUAGAAUAUGUAGUGUAGCGGUGAAAUGCUUAGAGAUUACAUGGAAUACCAAUUGCGAAGGCGGGUUGCUACCAAUAUAUUGA